AUUGAACGCUGGCGGCAGGCCUAACACAUGCAAGUCGAGCGGUAGCACAGAGAGCUUGCUCUCGGGUGACGAGCGGCGGACGGGUGAGUAAUGUCUGGGAAACUGCCUGAUGGAGGGGGAUAACUACUGGAAACGGUAGCUAAUACCGCAUAAUGUCGCAAGACCAAAGUGGGGGACCUUCGGGCCUCAUGCCAUCAGAUGUGCCCAGAUGGGAUUAGCUAGUAGGUGGGGUAAUGGCUCACCUAGGCGACGAUCCCUAGCUGGUCUGAGAGGAUGACCAGCCACACUGGAACUGAGACACGGUCCAGACUCCUACGGGAGGCAGCAGUGGGGAAUAUUGCACAAUGGGCGCAAGCCUGAUGCAGCCAUGCCGCGUGUGUGAAGAAGGCCUUCGGGUUGUAAAGCACUUUCAGCGGGGAGGAAGGCGAUAAGGUUAAUAACCUUGUCGAUUGACGUUACCCGCAGAAGAAGCACCGGCUAACUCCGUGCCAGCAGCCGCGGUAAUACGGAGGGUGCAAGCGUUAAUCGGAAUUACUGGGCGUAAAGCGCACGCAGGCGGUCUGUCAAGUCGGAUGUGAAACCCCCGGGCUCAACCUGGGAACUGCAUUCGAAACUGGCAGGCUAGAGUCUUGUAGAGGGGGGUAGAAUUCCAGGUGUAGCGGUGAAAUGCGUAGAGAUCUGGAGGAAUACCGGUGGCGAAGGCGGCCCCCUGGACAAAGACUGACGCUCAGGUGCGAAAGCGUGGGGAGCAAACAGGAUUAGAUACCCUGGUAGUCCACGCCGUAAACGAUGUCGAUUUGGAGGUUGUGCCCUUGAGGCGUGGCUUCCGGAGCUAACGCGUUAAAUCGACCGCCUGGGGAGUACGGCCGCAAGGUUAAAACUCAAAUGAAUUGACGGGGGCCCGCACAAGCGGUGGAGCAUGUGGUUUAAUUCGAUGCAACGCGAAGAACCUUACCUGGUCUUGACAUCCACAGAACUUUCCAGAGAUGGAUUGGUGCCUUCGGGAACUGUGAGACAGGUGCUGCAUGGCUGUCGUCAGCUCGUGUUGUGAAAUGUUGGGUUAAGUCCCGCAACGAGCGCAACCCUUAUCCUUUGUUGCCAGCGGUCCGGCCGGGAACUCAAAGGAGACUGCCAGUGAUAAACUGGAGGAAGGUGGGGAUGACGUCAAGUCAUCAUGGCCCUUACGACCAGGGCUACACACGUGCUACAAUGGCAUAUACAAAGAGAAGCGACCUCGCGAGAGCAAGCGGACCUCAUAAAGUAUGUCGUAGUCCGGAUUGGAGUCUGCAACUCGACUCCAUGAAGUCGGAAUCGCUAGUAAUCGUAGAUCAGAAUGCUACGGUGAAUACGUUCCCGGGCCUUGUACACACCGCCCGUCACACCAUGGGAGUGGGUUGCAAAAGAAGUAGGUAGCUUAACCUUCGGGAGGGCGCUUACCACUUUGUGAUUCAUGACUGGGGUGA
rnacentral:rRNA from 1 species